rnacentral:lncRNA from 1 species
CCAAUCCCACCAGCAGGGGGCGCGCGAGAUGAAACAGUUCUGUCCUGGGAUGUACCACCGAGGGUAGCGGAAAGACCACCCACUCUGGAAGGUACCAUUGGGAGAGGGCGUGUGACAACAAGAGGGUCCCCUUACACCGGCGUCGGGCAUGGACCGCAGUUCCCAGCAGCGGCACUCAUGGCGCCACUAGGUCCAUCCCCACUCGCUCCUCUUGGUCUUCCCCACUGCUUUUGAAUCCGAGUGGACAACAGAAAUAUCAGUGGGCAAGUGGCGUCAACAUUGGGACCUAUAGAUCAAGAUUCCCCAAGCUGGAUGAACCUGUGGUUGACCAGCAGCCCAGUGUUGAGCAACCUCAACAAGAGGAACCGCCAGCUGAGAUUCAGGAUAUCACACUUGGGAAGGAGGAAGUAAAUGGAGAGGAUCCGGUGAAUCAUAAUGAAGAGAAGGAGAAGGAUGCCUCUGGAGAGUAAAAACGGAACCUGUCAACAAAGACAUGAAAAGAUGCUCAACCUCGCUCAUCAUGAGAAAUGAAAAUCAGGAGCCACAAUUAGCUAUCUUGUCACAGCAGUCAGAAUGGCCAUCAUCAGAACUCUACACAAAAUAAAUGUUGGAGUGGAUGUGGAGAAAAGGGAAUC